rnacentral:rRNA from 1 species
UCUCCUGGAAACGGGUGGUAAUGCCGGAUGCUCCAUCACACCGCAUGGUGUGUUGGGAAAGCCUUUGCGGCAUGGGAUGGGGUCGCGUCCUAUCAGCUUGAUGGCGGGGUAACGGCCCACCAUGGCUUCGACGGGUAGCCGGCCUGAGAGGGCGACCGGCCACAUUGGGACUGAGAUACGGCCCAGACUCCUACGGGAGGCAGCAGUGGGGAAUAUUGCACAAUGGGCGCAAGCCUGAUGCAGCGACGCCGCGUGAGGGAUGGAGGCCUUCGGGUUGUAAACCUCUUUUGUUAGGGAGCAAGGCACUUUGUGUUGAGUGUACCUUUCGAAUAAGCACCGGCUAACUACGUGCCAGCAGCCGCGGUAAUACGUAGGGUGCAAGCGUUAUCCGGAAUUAUUGGGCGUAAAGGGCUCGUAGGCGGUUCGUCGCGUCCGGUGUGAAAGUCCAUCGCUUAACGGUGGAUCCGCGCCGGGUACGGGCGGGCUUGAGUGCGGUAGGGGAGACUGGAAUUCCCGGUGUAACGGUGGAAUGUGUAGAUAU